rnacentral:rRNA from 1 species
CAGUCGCCACUGUAAUACGGAGGGUGCAAGCGUUAAUCGGAAUUACAGGGCGUAAAGCGCCCGCAGGCGGUUUGUUAAGUCAGAUGUGAAAUCCCCGAGCUUAACUUGGGAACUGCAUUUGAAACUGGCAAGCUAGAGUCUUGUAGAGGGGGGUAGAAUUCCAGGUGUAGCGGUGAAAUGCGUAGAGAUCUGGAGGAAUACCGGUGGCGUAGGCGGCCCCCUGGACAAAGACUGACGCUCAGGUGCGAAAGCGUGGGGAGCAAACAGGAUUAGAUACCCCAGUAGUCCCUGUCUCUUAUAA